rnacentral:rRNA from 1 species
UUGUACACACCGCCCGUCGCUCCUACCGAUUGAAUGGUCCGGUGAAGUGUUCGGAUCGCGGCGACGUGGGUGCUUCGUCGCCGACGACGUCGCGAGAAGUCCACUGAACCUUAUCAUUUAGAGGAAGGAGAAGUCGUAACAAGGUUUCCGUAGGUGAACCUGCGGAAGGAUCAUUG